rnacentral:rRNA from 1 species
UACGUAGGGUGCAAGCGUUGUCCGGAAUUAUUGGGCGUAAAGAGCUCGUAGGCGGCUUGUCGCGUCGCUGUGAAAACCUGGGGCUCAACCCCGGGCCUGCAGCCGAUACGGGCAAGCUAGAAUUCGGUAGGGGAGACUGGAAUUCCUGGUGUAGCGGUGAAAUGCGCAGAUAUCAGGAGGAACACCGAUGGCGAAGGCAGGUCUCUGGGCAUUAACUGACGCUGAGGAGCGAAAAGCAUGGGGAGCGAACAGG